rnacentral:rRNA from 1 species
UACGUAGGGUGCGAGCGUUAAUCGGAUUUACUGGGCGUAAAGCGUGCGCAGGCGGCCCGUUAAGACAGGUGUGAAAUCCCUGGGCUCAACCUAGGAAUUGCGCUUGUGACUGUCGGGCUCGAGUACGGUAGAGGGGGGUGGAAUUCCUGGUGUAGCAGUGAAAUGCGUAGAGAUCAGGAGGAACACCGAUGGCGAAGGCAGCCCCCUGGGCCUGUACUGACGCUCAUGCACGAAAGCGUGGGGAGCAAACAGG